CCGAAACCCACUCAGGCGCUGCUCGCUCGCACGCCCACUGAGCUCGGAGCGGAGCCCGAGCCCUUUCCCAGCACACAGGGUUCAUUUCCAGACUGAAAGACAUCCCAGAGACAACUCCAGAGGCCAAGGCGGGUCGGCUUCCUGCGUGGGCCCAGCGCCGGGCACUGAAAGGUGAAGGCGCUUCUUCCGCUCGGAGGAAAGCCUCUGGCGGUUCUCGCUUCGCGGGCUCGGGAUGGACACGCGCGUAGGGCUGGGGAGGUGACGCGCGGACAACGCCGGGGCGAGCAAACUACAACUCCCAGGCAGCUGUGCGCCACGCGGGCGGCCUACUGUCGGGUGUGGCCGCGAGGGGCGGCCUAUAUAAGCUCUUGCUCGCGGCUUCAGCGCCCUUUCUCCCCGCCGCAUUCCCGGUGUCGACUUACUAGCUGCAAGCCUCUGCCUGCCUUCCUGCGCGCCGUUCCCCGCUAGUCGCUGCUGCUGGCGCGCACUCGCCGGGUUUUUCCUCCCACGGCCUCGAGAUGGUGGUGAAUGUGGCACGGAGGAGCCGGGCCUUCCAACCCGGUGGGCCCGAGCUCCGAAAGGCCCCCUCGGCAGUGAGAGGGGCGGGAGCCCGCGGGGGCCGCGCCCUUCUCUCGCUUCGGACUGCGCAACGCUGCGCUCUGGGCUGACAGGCGGAUAAAACGGUCCCAUCAAGACUGAGAAAAAGCACACCAGCUAUUGGCACAGCGUGGGCAGUGGGGCCUACAGGAUGACUGACUUAGUCUACAGAGAUCCCGGCGUACUUAAGCAGAUGAAGACUCUUAAGAUGACAGAAGGUGAUUUUUCUGGUGAUCGAGGACUUCCGGGGUAAUGACAGUGAUGAAAUGCAGGGGACCUGCAGGCAUGAGCCACCGCUCCUGGCCAGUUUAGUUUUCACGCUAAGCUUUUUGUUCUGCAGGUUGCCCCCAAGUUUCCUGGCAGUGUGUGAUACUGAGGAGGUGAGCUUGUUUCUGGAGCUGUGCUUUAAGGUAAAGUUGAUCAGCUUAAUCCUCCUGAUCCCUUUCCCAUCGGAUCUGAACACUGGUCUUGGUGGUCGUAAAAGGAGGAAAAGUAAUAGUGAAGCUGGCCUAAAUGUUGUAAUCUGGUAUAUGGCAUGUGGGCUAGUUUCAGACAGGUUUCAGAGAUGGUUGGAUCUCUGAAAUUGUAAAAUGAAGUAUAAUCUUAGGCUAAGGGAAGGAUGCGUGUGAAGCUCUGGAGGUUGGUAUAGUAAUAGCUGACCUAUUACUGCAUUUGGGAGGGAUCUGUCAUAGCUUCCUUGCCUCUUAAUUAAGGGUGGUGUUUUUUUCUUUUAGAUUCAUGUUACAUGUAAAGCUGUCCUCAUUUGUGACUAUGGACCUAUGGAGUUGGGACAAUCUCUAUGGGAAGCAGAAGGCAAGGACCCCGGUCAUUUUAGGUAGAAACAACAGCAUGCUAAUGCAAAAAAUUAUGCAGUGUGCUACUGAACUUCAGAGGUGAUCAAUAAAAGAAGAAUAAAAAGACUAAUAAAAGUAUAUUUGUGUUUGUAUUUUUUUGUAGAGACCGAACUGGUCUCUU
rnacentral:lncRNA from 10 species